UUUUUUCUAUGUGUUAUGAUAUUAAAUGUUUGAGUUCGUUUUUAUUCCUUUUGAGAUUUUGAUGGAGUAAAGUGUGAUGAAAGUGAAUAAGAAAUUACUUCAUUUUAUUUCUCGAAAUUGGUUGCAGAUAAUUUAAAUGUGAUGUUUGUUUUAUGCUAUCAAUAAAUUGGUCUCGACCNAGUGGUGUUGGUGGCUGUUUGAAAAGGGUGUAAGCCCUUGAAUAACAAAGAGUGGGACCCACGACUUUUAUUUUUUAUUUUGGAUAAGAGAGAAUGGGACUUGGGUUUGAAAUGGUUCUCUGCAUGGUAGUCACGUGGGGAAGAGGGUUUCUUUCUGUCAUCUAUUUUAAGUUGCAGGGGUAGGUUCUAAUUAUUUUUUUUUCGNUUUUCUUCAUGUCUGCAAGUAGAGUGCGCCUCUUCUACCUUAACCAAGAUAGGAAAUAGUAAAGGCAUAUAAUUAGCAUUAAAAAUAAUACAACCGAAAUCAUAACUGAAUAAGUUAUAUUGGGGAAAGGUGUAGAAUAGAAAAGGAAACUUUAGGUAGAGUCUUAAAUCAGAAAUAAUCUUGUUUAAUGAGGAGGGGGCCACGAGGCUCUGGGAGAACAGAAGGUAAGCAAAUUUGAAGUAUUAUAUUUAGAACCAGGAGAGUAGAGGGGUGGGGGGAGUUGUAAGGAAACCCUAACACAUAAUAGUAAGAAGAAAAAAAAAAAAAAAAGAAGAAGAAAGAAACCGUGAAGCCGUGAGGAGAGCUAGCAGCUGUCGUGAGCGAGGAGGGCCAAUCUAUAUUGUUAGGACCGAGGAGGCUAAAAGCUUUGCUGGAAAUACCAGGUAAGGGGAGUAAACCUUGACAUAUUCUGUAUGGAUUUUGUGAUAUCUGUAAGCGAGGGAGGGGUGAAGAUUUCAUGUAUGUUAUGGUCUUGCUUGUAAGUGUGCAUGUAUUUUAUGGAUGGAGUAUAGUCAUGCGUAGGUUGCAUAUGAAUGACUCAGAUUACUUGUAUACUGUCUUGAUGCCUAAAUACUGUAUGAUGGUGGAUGAGUCUUACGUUCUCGGUUCUUUUUUUUUAAGUCUGUUUGUUUUACUUAACCAAGAGUGCAAUGUCGUUCUUCUAUAUAGUGGGAUAGAGGCCUAGUUUUGGUGCUACCUUCCGUAGACCGAUGGGCGUGUGGGUUGGGAGUGUCAUCUUCUUGUAGAGAGUUAGUCGCAUAGUUAGUGAGAGAGAGGCUAUGAGUUUUGGGUCUGAGUGGUGAGAAAUAAGGAAGAGAAAGGUAUGAUGGGUUGGGGCGAUAUGAUGGGAGCGAGGGUGUUGCGCUUAGUGCAAAAUAAUUUUAGAAACAAAGGAAAGGAAUGAGUUAUAUUGAAAAAGUAGAGUUUGGGUGGGAAUAGUUCUAGCGUGUGUAGAAUUAUGAGCGAAUGAGAGUGGGGUUUCAUGUGGGUGCACAUUUCAGCUCCUGAAGGUAGUGGGUAUAGGGGAACCGUGAGCAUGGACAUGAGUGUUAUCACCGGCAGAGGGGUUUAGUGUUAGUAUAGAAAGUAGACAAGGAUAGAAGGAGAGUGUGUUGAGGAAGGUGACCAUAGCAAGUGAAACUUGUAAGAAAGGGCACGGACUUAGAAAAGAGAAGAGUAGAAAUUUUAUAGAAGUUGGAUUACGUACCAGAGAAUAGGUUGAAUGAAGAAGAUGAGUUUCUUUUUUUCUNUAUGCAUGAAAGUUACGCACCUUAACUUAGGUGAGAGANAAAGGAAGUUAAUAGGGAGUAGGGGAAAAGGUUUGAGGAUUUAAGUGAUGCGGGGUCCACGCCUUUAUUGGUAUAAUUAAGUUCUAAGCAAUGUAUAUAUAUAUAUGGUAAGGUAAGGGUUACGUACUGUAAGUUAAUGUAUUAUAUUAAUAUUAUUAAUAUUAUAUAUGUAUAUAAUAAAGCGGGAGUUUGACAUGAGUAAAAGAAAAUGUUAAAUAAAUGGUAAUGUUGGGAUUGGUGCACGGUUAUCAAGUUGCAGAGAAGGUUUUUCUUUAUUUUGUUGCUGGUAUCCUUUCGGUAAUUGAGGGAUUAGGUGAGAAGAUGAUAUUUCUUUAUUUUUUUUUUUUUGUUUCAUGUUAUUAUUAUUAUAUUUUUAAUAUGCUUAAAGAUGUUAAAGUUUGGGAAUUCUUCGGAUGAUUGGUUGAAUCAGCGUGAAUAGAUCUGCCUCCAUUAAAACUGUCAUGUAUUGGGAAAUCGAUAAUUUAUUUUCUGGAAUUAUUUGUUGCUAGAGGAUGGUGGGUUGUUACAUGUAAUCCGAAUGGGAAAGGAGAUUUGUGUUUAAACUUGAAAAGAUUUGGUUGUAUUAUGCAUAUUAUUGAGAAAUUGUAUUCAUUGCUGAUAUACGAAAUCAUGUUAUUUUCUUAUACUUGUGUUGGUCAUGGAUGGAUGUUCGUACUAUGUUACGAUAAGAAUGUAUUGGACUCUCAUUCUUUGAGAUAGUGAUUCGAGUGUCACCUCCUCCUAUGUGGGGAUGUGGAUGUCUCGCCCAUAUGACUUCGGCUCGUGUGAGUAUAGUGCUCGUUGGGUGUUUCCCACCGAAGUUUUUACUCGUAAUUCCUUGAGGAGUCGGGGAGAUAGGUCAGAAGUUGCGAUGGAAGACAACUCGAAUUGCCCUGUUGGGAACAGGUUUCUGUUAGUGAUAACAGGAGUAUGACGACACAGUAAAAGGAAACAACAUUGCAUAUUUAGUGCAUUGGCUAUGAUAUCAUUACAAUGAUUUGUGUUAUAAUAUUGCUUAUGUGAUUAUUGUAUAUGCUACCUAUGAUAUUUCUGGUUGCUCACCCUUUUAUGUUGUGUUUGUGGUCUCCACCU
rnacentral:lncRNA from 1 species